AAAGAAGUAACAAGGCUGUUCUCUAUUGGCAAGGAAGUCAUGCAAAUGCAUACUUCUUCUUUGCCAAAGAAGAAUUGCACUGCCAUUUUUCC
rnacentral:pre_miRNA from 1 species